UCUAGCUACAGGCUUAACACAUGCAAGUCGAGGGGCAGCAUGGUCUUAGCUUGCUAAGGCCGAUGGCGACCGGCGCACGGGUGAGUAACACGUAUCCAACCUGCCGUCUACUCUUGGACAGCCUUCUGAAAGGAAGAUUAAUACAAGAUGGCAUCAUGAGUCCGCAUGUUCACAUGAUUAAAGGUAUUCCGGUAGACGAUGGGGAUGCGUUCCAUUAGAUAGUAGGCGGGGUAACGGCCCACCUAGUCUUCGAUGGAUAGGGGUUCUGAGAGGAAGGUCCCCCACAUUGGAACUGAGACACGGUCCAAACUCCUACGGGAGGCAGCAGUGAGGAAUAUUGGUCAAUGGGCGAGAGCCCGAACCAGCCAAGUAGCGUGAAGGAUGACUGCCCUAUGGGUUGUAAACUUCUUUUAUAAAGGAAUAAAGUCGGGUAUGGAUACCCGUUUGCAUGUACUUUAUGAAUAAGGAUCGGCUAACUCCGUGCCAGCAGCCGCGGUAAUACGGAGGAUCCGAGCGUUAUCCGGAUUUAUUGGGUUUAAAGGGAGCGUAGAUGGAUGUUUAAGUCAGUUGUGAAAGUUUGCGGCUCAACCGUAAAAUUGCAGUUGAUACUGGAUAUCUUGAGUGCAGUUGAGGCAGGCGGAAUUCGUGGUGUAGCGGUGAAAUGCUUAGAUAUCACGAAGAACUCCGAUUGCGAAGGCAGCCUGCUAAGCUGCAACUGACAUUGAGGCUCGAAAGUGUGGGUAUCAAACAGGAUUAGAUACCCUGGUAGUCCACACGGUAAACGAUGAAUACUCGCUGUUUGCGAUAUACUGCAAGCGGCCAAGCGAAAGCGUUAAGUAUUCCACCUGGGGAGUACGCCGGCAACGGUGAAACUCAAAGGAAUUGACGGGGGCCCGCACAAGCGGAGGAACAUGUGGUUUAAUUCGAUGAUACGCGAGGAACCUUACCCGGGCUUAAAUUGCAGAUGAAUUACGGUGAAAGCCGUAAGCCGCAAGGCAUCUGUGAAGGUGCUGCAUGGUUGUCGUCAGCUCGUGCCGUGAGGUGUCGGCUUAAGUGCCAUAACGAGCGCAACCCUUGUUGUCAGUUACUAACAGGUUCCGCUGAGGACUCUGACAAGACUGCCAUCGUAAGAUGUGAGGAAGGUGGGGAUGACGUCAAAUCAGCACGGCCCUUACGUCCGGGGCUACACACGUGUUACAAUGGGGGGUACAGAGGGCCGCUACCACGCGAGUGGAUGCCAAUCCCCAAAACCUCUCUCAGUUCGGACUGGAGUCUGCAACCCGACUCCACGAAGCUGGAUUCGCUAGUAAUCGCGCAUCAGCCACGGCGCGGUGAAUACGUUCCCGGGCCUUGUACACACCGCCCGUCAAGCCAUGGGAGCCGGGGGUACCUGAAGUGCGUAACCGCGAGGAGCGCCCUAGGGUAAAACUGGUGACUGGGGCU
rnacentral:rRNA from 1 species